rnacentral:misc_RNA from 1 species
GAUGAAGAACGUAGCGAAAUGCGAUAAGUAAUGUGAAUUGCAGAAUUCAGUGAAUCAUCGAAUCUUUGAACGCACAUUGCCCCCGCCAGUAUUCUGGCGGGCAUGCCUGUUCGAGCGUCAUUUCAACCAUCAAGCCCCCGGCUUGUGUUGGGGACCUGCGGCUGCCGCAGGCCCUGAAAACCAGUGGCGGGCUCGCUAGUCACUCCGAGCGUAGUAAUACAUCUCGCUCAGGGCGUGCUGCGGGUUCCGGCCGUUAAAAAGCCUUAUUUACCCAAGGUUGACCUCGGAUCAGGUAGGAAGACCCGCUGAACUUAAGCAUAUCAAUAAGCGGAGGA